AUGACACAUGGCAUUUUUGCCAGAAGAAGUGGUUGAGAGGUGACACCAGUGAGCCAUUAAAAUGAUGACUUUUGAGUUCUCACAGAGUUCCGAUUAAGUUCUGGUUGAGCUCUCGUGGGGAUUCCUGAAGAGUUCGCAUUGGUUGGGGAAGUGCUGGAGGAGGGAUUUCCGGUUGGUGGUUCCUGGAGGAGCCGUGUGGCAUUUGGGAGAGUUCCUGGGGAGCGUGUAUGGAGUGUGCUGGUGGAGUUCUGAAAUAAAGUUUGUUCCUGCUUCAGUGGCUUGUGAUUUGUGCCCAGCCAGACUGCACAUUUGGCGACCCAUGCAGGGAACACCUGAAGCUCGGAGCCAUCAUUGCCAGAAUUCCUAUCUUCAUCCCAGUGCCGGUGAAGACAAAGAUAAAACCAAACUACAGCUUCUUCGAUAGCUAUCACAGUAAACUGUAUAAACUGAUGCAUCAAUGAAUAAUAACUCAACAAGUGAUGCUCAAUCAAGUAGUCGAUUUACUUUGGGAGGAAAUGAACAUAUUGAUGGAUUCCUCUGCUUUGAACUGCUUGCAGAACUUGCCUGGACUAUGUAUCACUUGUAUGCAUUGUAAACUAUCUGUUGGUGCAGCGAA